AUCCUUCUGGACAAAAUGCCCAGCAUACAGCUAGAUGAAAACAUCAUACAAUGGGUGAGCAAUUGGCUGACAGGCAGGGCUCA